GACGAACGCUGGCGGCGUGCCUAAUACAUGCAAGUCGAGCGGAACUUAGAAAGCUUGCUUUCUAAGUUUAGCGGCGGACGGGUGAGUAACACGUGGGCAACCUGCCUAUAAGACUGGGAUAACUUCGGGAAACCGGAGCUAAUACCGGAUAAUAUAAAAGAUCACAUGGUCUUUUAUUGAAAGAUGGCUUCGGCUAUCACUUAUAGAUGGGCCCGCGGCGCAUUAGCUAGUUGGUGAGGUAAUGGCUCACCAAGGCGACGAUGCGUAGCCGACUUGAGAGGGUGAUCGGCCACACUGGGACUGAGACACGGCCCAGACUCCUACGGGAGGCAGCAGUAGGGAAUCUUCCGCAAUGGACGAAAGUCUGACGGAGCAACGCCGCGUGAACGAUGAAGGCCUUCGGGUCGUAAAGUUCUGUUGUUAGGGAAGAACAAGUACCGUUCAAAUAGGGCGGUACCUUGACGGUACCUAACCAGAAAGCCACGGCUAACUACGUG
rnacentral:rRNA from 1 species